rnacentral:sRNA from 1 species
AGUUCGAGCUGUGCGAGCGCGACACCUACAUGCUGCUGCUCUGGGUGCAGAACCUCUACCCCAAUGACAUCAUCAACAGCCCCAAGCUGGUGGGUGAGCUGCAGGGUAUGGGGCUCGGGAGCCUCCUGCCCCCCAGGCAGAUCCGGCUGCUGGAGGCCACAUUCCUGUCCAGUGAGGCGGUGAGUCUCCACCUGGGCCAGGGAGGCGCAGGGAGGCAGCAGAGGAGAGGCUCGGAGACAGACAGGACAUGGGCAGGGAGCUUGACGGGUCUUCCAGGUGAGCGAGGUGAGGGAUAGUGCCCCAGUGACCUGCCCCUCCUCCUCCAGGCCAAUGUGAGGGAGUUGAUGGACCGAGCUCUGGAGCUAGAGGCACGGCGCUGGGCUGAGGAUGUGCCUCCCCAGAGGCUGGACGGCUACUGCCACAGCGAGCUGGCCAUCGACAUCAUCCAGAUCACCUCCCAGGCCCAGGCCAAGGCCGAGAGCAUCACGCUGGACUUGGGCUCACAGAUAAAGCGGGUGCUGCUGGUGGAGCUGCCUGCGUUCCUGAGGAGCUACCAGCGCGCCUUUAAUGAAUUUCUGGAGAGAGGCAAGCAGCUGACGAAUUACAGGGCCAAUGUUAUUGCCAACAUCAACAACUGCCUGUCCUUCCGGAUGUCCAUGGAGCAGAAUUGGCAGGUACCCCAGGACACCCUGAGCCUCCUGCUGGGCCCCCUGGGUGAGCUCAAGAGCCACGGCUUUGACACCCUGCUCCAGAACCUGCAUGAGGACCUGAAG